GCGAAAUGCAUUGUAGCUAUUUACUUAUAAUAAUAAUUCUAGAUAUCGGUCAUAUUCUUACGCAACGAACAACAGCUCGAAAAUCUUUAUCGUGCAUUAUGUACAUUGUUUGUGUGGUAUGCACACGCGUGCAUAUAUUUUACUUAGCAUUCCAUGAAUAUGUGUCACAUAUAAGUUGCAGGCGCCAUAACUUGUUCAUAGCGAAACACCGAAGCUGAAUAUUUUUUACAUUGUAUAUUAUUGUACUGGUCAAGUGCGUGUCGAGCAACGCCAGGUCCGCAGCGCCGGGUUUUCAUGUUAGCUAACACAAUAACAUUGUUUACAAACGGAGUAGGGGUGUUAGGCUUCCGAAGGUAUGUCUUACACAUGUAGGUAUAUUCAAUUCACUAUCAGAAAUAUAUAUUUACUUCCAGAUGUACAUAAGUAACGCCUGUGACUAGUUAUAAUAUCCAAAAUGUGAAAUAUAAUAUUGUUUUCAAACUUU